CAAUAGCGUAUAUUAAAGUUGUUGCAGUUAAAAAGCUCGUUGUUGGAUUUGUGGCGUACGGUGUGUUCCGGGCACUUGUUGUCUGAGUAACCUGCUGUUGCCAUCCUUGGGUGGAACCUGUGUGGCAUUAGGUUGUCGUGCAGGGGAUGCCCAUCAUUUACUGUGAAAAAAUUAGAGUGUUCAAAGCAGGCUUAUGCCGUUGAAUAUAUUAGCAUGGAAUAAUGAGAUAGGACUUUUUUGCUAUUUUGUUGGUUUGCGCAAAGAGGUAAUGAUUAAUAGGGACAGUUGGGGGUAUUCGUAUUCCAUUGUCAGAGGUGAAAUUCUUGGAUUUUUGGAAGACGAACUACUGCGAAAGCAUUUACCAAGGAUGUCUUCAUUAA
rnacentral:rRNA from 1 species